AAAAUUAAUCUAAGGGCAGAUGGUGGAUGCCUAGACCAGGAGAGGCGAUGAAGGACGUACUAGGCUGCGAUAAGCCAGGGGGAGCUGCCAAGAAGCUUUGAUCCCUGGAUUUCCGAAUGGGGCAACCCAAUAUGGUGCGAAUCAUAUUACUCUUUCGAGAGAGCGAACGUGGGGAAGUGAAACAUCUCAGUACCCACAGGAAAAGAAAUCAACCGAGAUUCCCUUAGUAGCGGCGAGCGAAAUGGGAAUAGCCCUAAAAUCUUUGAGGUGUUAGUAGAAUGAGCUGGAAUGCUCGACCGUAGAGGGUGAAAGUCCCGUAUACGACAACUAAUCAUAGACUAUUCGAGUAGGUCGGGACACGUGAAACCCUGACUGAAUAUGGGAGGACCACCUUCCAAGGCUAAAUACUACUUCAGGAUCGAUAGUGAACCAGUACCGUGAGGGAAAGGUGAAAAGAACCGCGGCAAGCGGAGUGAAAUAGAACCUGAAACCAUCUGCCUACAAUCAUUCAGAGCCCUAUGUCUUCGGACAGGGUGAUGGACUGCCUUUUGCAUAAUGAGCCUGCGAGUUAUGGUGACUAGCAAGGUUAAUCAAACGAGAAGCCGUAGCGAAAGCGAGUCUUAAUAGGGCGAUAGUUAGUUGCUGUAGACCCGAAACUAAGUGAUCUAUCCAUGGGCAGGUUGAAGCUGGUGUAAGAGCUAGUGGAGGACCGAACGGGUGAAGGUUUAAAACUUCUCCGAUGACCUGUGGAUAGGGGUGAAAGGCCAAUCAAACUUAGUGAUAGCUGGUUCUCUCCGAAAUAUAUUUAGGUAUAGCGUCAUGUUCGAAACAUGAGGGGGUAGAGCACUGAUUGGGCUAGGGCCUAUACCAAGGUACCAAACCCAGUCAAACUCCGAAUACCUCAUGUGAAUUCAUGGCAGUCAGGUUGUGGGUGAUAAAAUCCAUGAUCGAGAGGGAAACAGCCCAGACUACCAGCUAAGGUCCCAAAGUUCUAUUUAAGUGGAAAAGGAUGUGGAGUUGCUUAGACAACCAGGAGGUUGGCUUAGAAGCAGCCAUCCUUUAAAGAAAGCGUAACAGCUCACUGGUCGAGCGGGGGAGCGCCGAAAAUAUAACGGGGCUAAAGCCAUCCGCCGAAGUCGUAGACUCUAGAGUGGAUCUAGAGUGGUAGGAGAGCGUUGAUGACAGCGUAGAAGCUGUACCGGUGAGGAGCAGUGGAGCGUCAUCAAGUGAGCAUGCAGGCAUGAGUAGCGAUAAAGUGGGUGAGAAUCCCACUCGCCGAAAGCCUAAGGUUUCCUACACGAUGCUCGUCAGUGUAGGGUUAGUCGGGACCUAAGACGAGGCCGAGAGGCGUAGUCGAUGGGAAAACGGUUAAUAUUCCGUUACCUACUAACAGCGAGGCGAAGGGGGGACGCCUAGGGUUAGCCGAGGUCACUGAUGGAAUAGUGGCUCGAAGGGUGUAGGAGGAGUGGUAGGCAAAUCCGCCACUCGAAACUCCGAGACCUGACAGGCUCCCGAAGCUCUUCGGAGCGGAGGGAGAAUCGGUGAUACCGUCGGGCCGAGAAAAGCCUCUAAGCCGUUUGAGCUGUUAGUAGCCCGUACCGCAAACCGACACAGGUAGGCGGGAUGAGUAUUCUAAGGCGCGUGGAAGAACCCUCCCUAAGGAACUCGGCAAACUGGCACCGUAACUUCGGGAUAAGGUGUGCCCCGAGUAGGUGAAGGAGCUUGCCUCUGGAGCCGAAAGGGGUCGCAGCGCAGCGCUCUUGCCGACUGUUUACCAAAAACACAGCACUCUGCUAACUCGUAAGAGGAAGUAUAGGGUGUGACGCCUGCCCGGUGCUCGAAGGUUAAAAGGAUUGCUUAGCAUUAGCGAAGGCAUGAAUUGAAGCCCGAGUAAACGGCGGCCGUAACUAUAACGGUCCUAAGGUAGCGAAAUUCCUUGUCGGU
rnacentral:rRNA from 1 species